rnacentral:tRNA from 1 species
UGCGUCAUAGCACAGAGGUAGCGCUCCCAUUUUCCAACUUGGAGGUCUUGGGUUCGAUCCCCCCAAUCCCAU